ensembl:lncRNA
GGUACUAAUAAUAAACCAGGUACUAAUAAUAAUCCAGAUACUAAUAAUAAACCACUGGACAGGUACUAAUAAUAAACCACGGGACAGGUACUAAUAAUAACCCAGGUUCUAUUAAUAAACCGCGGUACAGGUUCUAAUAAUAAACCACGAGACAGGCACUAAUAUUAAACCAGGUACUAAUAAUAAACCACGAGACAGGCACUAAUAAUAAACCAGGUUCUAAUAAUAAACCACUUGACAGGUACUAAUAAUAAACCACGGGACAGG